AACUUUCAACAAUGGAUCACUUGGGUCUCCCAUCGAUGAAGAACGCAGCGAAAUGCGAUAACUAAUGUGAAUUGCAGAAUUCAGUGAAUCAUCGAAUCUUUGAACGCAUCUUGCGCUCCUUGGUAUUCCGAGGAGCAUGCCUGUUUGAGUGUCAUUUCAAGUUCUCAACUGCAUCAAUUUCUUGUUGAUGUGGCUUGGAUGUGGGGGAUUGAUUAUUGCAGGCUUCUGUCAAAGGAGGUCGGCUCCCCUGAAAAACAUUAGUGGUAUCUGAGCAGAAGAAACUACUACAGGUGUGAUAAUUAUCUAUGCCUUUCAGUAUGCUGCAUAAAAACAGAUUGCACUGCUUCUAACUAGUGAAAACCUCUCUACAAGGAGGGGCCACAUUUGACAAAUUUGACCUCAAAUCAGGUAGGACUACCCGCUGAACUUAAGCAUAUCAAUAAGCGGAGGCU
rnacentral:misc_RNA from 1 species